rnacentral:lncRNA from 1 species
UUCCUUUCAUUUGGAAUUAUAUAAGCCUUCAUAUCAUACAAUCAAUUGUUUGGCUUGUAUGUGUUUAAUGAAUUUGCUUUCUUAAGAUUUCAGAUUCUCCCUCUCAACAUUUGCAUUCAAUUUUGUUUAAAUUCUCUGAAUUUUCUUUUAAUGUCUUGAAGCUUUUGAGCUUAAAUUUUUGGUUUUAGAGAAAAAAUCUGAUAAUUUAUUCUUGAGUAUGAUUCAACUAAUCUCCGAAUAUCUCUUGAAUAGAUUCUGGAGAUUACUCCUUUAGGAGCCCCAACAGAGAGAUAAUGAGCCUCGAGGUAUCGAAUCCACUUAGAACAAAUUACUUUGUGCUUUAAGAAUUUUCUUUUUAUUGAUUCCCCCUUUACAUUUCAAUUCAAUAUACGUUCUCCCCUUUUUUGUC